GUGAGUCAUCGAAUCUUUGAACGCACAUUGCGCCCUCUGGUAUUCCGGGGGGCAUGCCUGUUCGAGCGUCAUUACAACCCUCAAGCUCAGCUUGGUAUUGGGCCUCGCCGGUUCCGGCGGGCCUCAAAGUCAGUGGCGGUGCCAUCCGGCUUCAAGCGUAGUAACACUCUCGCUUCUGGAGACCCGGGUGCGUGCUUGCCAACAACCCCAAUUUUCUCAAGGUUGACCUCGGAUCAGGUAGGGAUACCCGCUGAACUUAAGCAUAUCAAUAAGCGGAGGA
rnacentral:misc_RNA from 1 species